rnacentral:piRNA from 1 species
UGGUAGAGCGCGCGCUUCGCAUG